rnacentral:rRNA from 1 species
UAAUACGUAGGAUCCAAGCGUUGUCCGGAUUUACUGGGUAUAAAGGGUGCGUAGGCGGCCUUGUGCGUCAGAGGUGAAAUCUCCGGGCUUAACCCGGAGGGUGCCUUUGAUACGGCAGGGCUUGAGUGCGAGAGAGGAUGAUGGAAUUCCUGGUGUAGCGGUGAAAUGCGUAGAUAUCAGGAGGAACACCGGUGGCGAAGGCGGUCAUCUGGCUCGAAACUGACGCUGAGGCACGAAAGCGUGGGGAUCAAACAGGAUUAGAUACCCUGGUAGUCCACGCCCUAAACGAUGUAUGCUUGGUGUUGGGGUCGCAAGAUCUCAGUGCCGUAGGAAAUCUGAUAAGCAUACCACCUGGGGAGUACGAUCGCAAGGUUGAAACUCAAAUGAAUUGACGGU